AACGCUAGCUACAGGCUUAACACAUGCAAGUCGAGGGGCAGCAUGAACUUAGCUUGCUAAGUUUGAUGGCGACCGGCGCACGGGUGAGUAACGCGUAUCCAACCUUCCGUACACUCAGGAAUAGCCUUUCGAAAGAAAGAUUAAUACCUGAUGGUAUGAUGAGAUUGCAUGAAAUCAUCAUUAAAGAUUUAUCGGUGUACGAUGGGGAUGCGUUCCAUUAGAUAGUAGGCGGGGUAACGGCCCACCUAGUCGACGAUGGAUAGGGGUUCUGAGAGGAAGGUCCCCCACAUUGGAACUGAGACACGGUCCAAACUCCUACGGGAGGCAGCAGUGAGGAAUAUUGGUCAAUGGGCGCGAGCCUGAACCAGCCAAGUAGCGUGAAGGAUGAAGGUCCUACGGAUUGUAAACUUCUUUUAUAAGGGAAUAAAGUCACCUACGUGUAGGUGUUUGUAUGUACCUUAUGAAUAAGCAUCGGCUAACUCCGUGCCAGCAGCCGCGGUAAUACGGAGGAUGCGAGCGUUAUCCGGAUUUAUUGGGUUUAAAGGGAGCGUAGACGGGUCGUUAAGUCAGCUGUGAAAGUUUGUGGCUCAACCUUAAAAUUGCAGUUGAUACUGGCGUCCUUGAGUACGGUUGAGGCAGGCGGAAUUCGUGGUGUAGCGGUGAAAUGCAUAGAUAUCACGAAGAACUCCGAUUG
rnacentral:rRNA from 1 species